rnacentral:lncRNA from 1 species
UUUUAGUUCAAAGUAUUUCAAUUUUUAUGUUUCUACUUUGUAUUGGUUUGAAUUUUAUAAUUGCUCGAACGUUGUUUGAUUGUACUAUUGUAAGGGUCCAAUUCUGUCUGGGCCCAUACCAAAACAAACCAAACCAUAAAAAAAGCUCAUCAGUCCCGAGACCAAUUACAAAUGACCCAAAUAAUAAAAAACUCUAAUGGCCCAACAAGCCCAAAACCUAAACUAUUUUCAGAAAAAAAAAAACAAGAACAAAAGCCCUAACCGUCGCUCCUAGCCUCUGCCACCCCUGCAAAGAAAAAGCAACAUGCAAUAACAAGUACGAAAUAGUAGAAAAAUUGAUAAAAAAAUGUGUAAAAAUCGGCUAUAAAGCCAUGGUAAACCGAUUGUAAAAGGGG